UAUCCUGCUCUGUUUUGUUGCUGUGUGACAGAUGGCAGCAGAGGAGCAGUCUGGCAAAAUGGCGUCUGACAUGGAAUUGCUUAUGGAGCAAAGGUGUAUCAUUGAAAUCCUCCAUGUAGAAAAAAUGGCACCCAUUGGCAUUCGCUGAUGCUUGCUGAACAUUUCUGGAGACCAAGCAGUGGCUGUGAGCACGGUGAGGGGUGAGUGGUGCACCCCAGAAUUGGCGACAGUGACUGUGAGUCACCUCCAUCGGUGCCUAUUUUUAUGAGCACAGCAUGCAGCCUCCUGUUCAUCGAUGAAAAAGAUGCACGACCAAUGGUGGUUACUGUGUUGAAAAAUAGUGUUUUGUAGCUGAGAAUUUGCUCUCUCAAAUACUGUUCUUGUACUUUUCAUAGCUGUUGUCAUUUCCGUGACAAUGUAAAUAGGAGACGUCACUUUCAGAGCAACCUAUGUACAUGACAGCUCUGAUUUGUGUGCCAGCCUUCCCUACAGGGCAAUGGAGAGUAUCAGGGAUCGUGGCUGGGGACGCUUGUCUGUGCAUGAUUAUGGUGAAUUCUGAUGUUCUGCGUAAGCUGGUGGACUCUGAUCUCUGAAUCACCACGGGUUUACUUGCCCAACCACAUUUUGCUCCUGGCUCCUCCUCCUGAUCCUCCAGCUGCUCCUCCCAGUCUGGUUUGGCUGCUCUCUCAUUUUUGCAGCCUGCUCCCUUUCCUCACACCUCUUUCUCCUCCCUGCAUCUGCCCUGCAGCUGGAUGGCUUCAUGUUCUGUCAUGCAAGGGUGGGAGCACAACAAAACCUCCACCCAAUGAGUCCACGGCUUUGCUGUGUGCAGCCUCCUGCCAGCAUCUGUGCUGAUGGGUCCCAGGACUGUGAUUUCAUCCUGCAUCCAGCUUUACAGGAUUAGAAUCAUUAUAGUUGAAAAGACCACCAAGAUCAUCUAGUCUAACCAUCAACCUAUCACCACCCUAGCAAUAAACCAUAUCCCUCAGUGUGACCUCUGCUCUUUUCUUAAAAACCUCUGUGGAUUCUUUUAGCUGUUUACAAUGUCACUGGAUGAAGAGGUGUUGGACCUCCUCAUGAGAUGCUGCACGUUGGUAGGUGUGCUGGUAUUGCUUACAGAAAAAGAGAGCUUUUAUUUUUCUUACGCGCCUUAACGAUGAACUUCUCUUGCAGUCAAUGAUGUUUGUAUUUAGGAGACUAAAAUCCUCUCUUCUAACUGACAUAUUUUGCAUAUAAAAACUGGUAAGUGAUGGAAAGAUGGAAUACAGGAAAACUCGAGUACUUCAUGUUUGGUGGACUAUACCAUGUGAUUUCAAAAUUUCUAGAAGUGAAAAGAAUGCAAAUUCCAUUAUAAAGACUGCACAAGGGCACUCAGUUUUGGAGCAGCAGCAUUGGAAGUGUCAGGACUGCCUUGGGCCACUCAGCCUCCUUGGAGGAUGUGCUGCUGAGGUGGAGACAGGCCUGAGGGCAAUACAGACAACGAAUAUGUUAAUUAGUUAUUAGGAGAAGGCGGAGCUUUGUUUAAAGAAAGACCCUGGAGAUCUCAGGGAAGUCAUUGUCCUAGUGGGCUCUGCUCUUCUAUGAAGCAUGCUCUGGUGAGCCGUGGCCAAGCUGGCUGCUCUCCAUGGGCUCUCCCAGCAAGCUGUAGGAGGAGGCAGGAGGACUGACAGAAGCCUGGUGCAGACAGACUGCAAGCACAUUAAUUAUUGAUUGUGUUAGUUGAUGGGUUGUGCUGAAUUGAUCUGGUACAAGAUAAUGUGAAUUAAAAGCUGCUUAAAUAUUUAAUUCAGGGCUUUUUGGCUACGGCAGGCAUUUGAAUGAAAGAUAACGUGCGAUUCAUGACUGGAAUCGGCUUCUCAAUAAAGACAAGCUAUUAGAAUGAGAGGUACUAUCUAAAUGUAAAUUAUGAUUUAUUAGAGGGGAAAUCUCUUGUGUGUAAAAUUUUAAUGAAAGAUUAGAAAGCUUUCUAGAUUGAAUUAUCUAAAUAUAUGAUAGCCAUUUUCAAGUUAUUCGUUCAAUCGUGGCAGUACUAACACCGAAGGCUGGUAUGCCUCCCUGGUUGGCUUAGGUGCUGCAGCUCCCAGGAAAUUCCUGCCUGGUUUCUCCCAGCCUCUCCACAGAGACAUCCUCAAUGCAAAGCAGACCCGAUCCUGAUGCAAAAAUGUUUUCUAUUUCAGCUUUUAGGGCAUACAGGCUUCGAUGAGAGUAGCAGGCUGCUGCCUGCUGCAGUUUCUGCCUCCCCUUCUAUCUUGCUUCAUUCCUCCAUGUACCAGAGAAGGCUUUGGCAGCUGGGGGUGUUAGCCUCAUUUUUCUCACCCUUCAGAAAAGCUGUCCUCUGUUCAACGUGCGCAUUCCUUCCUCCAGAGCCAUUUUCCUCCGUGGGCUCUCUGGGCUGGCCAGCGGCCAAACAGUAGGGUGAGCUGCAUGAGAAGGCCUUGAUCACUGGCUGUCUUACAAUUUUUCACUUGUAUUCAAGAUGCAGAUGGAUGUCAUUAGAAAGGUUUUUACUUUGAAUGCGCACAGCUUGUCCACAUGCCCGAGCUUAGAGCUCAGUACUUGUAUAGUACUUAUAUAUGUGCUUUUCAUCCUCAAAAGGGCUCUGCAAGCUCGAGUCCUCAGAACAGUUCUGUGAGGUGGGUGUGUGCAUUUUGUAAUGAGCUUCAUAACAAGGAAGAACGCAGGUCAGUGUUUCUUUCAAAGAUAUGUUGUGCAGUGAGCAUUAUAAAGGAAGAAAAUCCUUACACUUCCCUGGUGUUCCUCUCUGAUGUUCUGUCUGAAAAUCACAUGGUUUCACCGUGGGAGCAUGUCCCUCCAUAUGAAAGAUGUGAUUAGUGGCAUCAAAAAUUAAGAUGUGUCUCAGGUUACAGUAGUACUAGGUAAAUAUAUAGCAUUUCUAAAAGUUAUGAGGCCAGGUUUCCUACUGUACUCAGCUUCAAUUAACACAGAAGAGCAGGAGCCAAAGGGCAUCGUCAAAGAGACCCAAGUCUGAUGGAAGAUCAGGAGCUUCUUCACAUCGUACUUCUAAACAGAGGGAAAUGAUAUUAUGAAGAGGGAUAAAAAUUGCUUGUCUUCACAGUUGAAAGGACAAGGCAGGAUUAAUUUUUUUUUUCCAUUUGAACUGUAGGAUUAAAAUUCAAGUAGCUACAGUAACAGCAACAGCCCCAGUGUGAACUCAGCUCUAUCGAAAGUUUUUGUAAUGUUGCAUCUCAUCUAAGCGAGGGGGCUGGAAUAAUCUAUAGCUAUGGCAGGCAUUUUUGAAAUUUUGCAUUCUGUCUGAGUUGUUACUGGCAUGACUACUUUGGCAUGCUUUACCUUGCACAGGCGAGCCAGUAAAUGCUUCAAGUGUCAUCCAGCAGGAAAAAUCUGGCUAGGGAUGAGAUCAUAUUGUGAGAUAUGGUUCCUAAACUAGAUCAGUGAGCCCUGGAAGAGGGUUUAAUAACCAGCAUUAGGGGUUUUUGCACCCUCUGUGUGCCUCAGAGCAUGCAUAGGUAUCUGGAGGACAUAGGUUUAGAAAUCAGUAGCUACCUUAUCCCAAUAAGGAAUUCUUAAUAAGGGAUGGAGUGGCACUUGUUCUGAAUAAACAAGCAGGAGACUGUAAGAAAAAGGAUCUGCUUUAUAGACCUGCACCUCCUUCAUGCUUUCUGGGCAAAUAGACUGAGAAUAGCCUGUCUACUUGAAGUCAUAAGAAGGAUGAGUUAAAGAUAGAUAGGUUAAAGCAAGCAUUUAUUUUAAUGUUGCUCCAGUUUCCCUCUUUUAAAAACAUAAUUAUGUCCAGUCACAACAGGACUCUGCAUCUUCUCAGAAAGAUGCUGAGAACUAGUUAAUGAGCAAGCUUGAGUGGCAGAGAUGCUCACCUUCACCUGCUGCAUACAGCAGGGUGGAGAAGUGGAACGGAGUAAACUAGUCAUGGUUUUUUAACCCCAAAAGGGUCUUUUUUAAGAGAAUUCUGCAUUCAGGUAUUAUCUUCCUCUUGCUGCUCUGGGGAGGGUAUCUGGCCCCAGAAAUUACUCUGGAGAAAUAGGAAGUGCAACUUAUUUUCUGGUUUUCUAAACAUUAUGCAGUUUCAGAUGAAUUCAUGGGAAUGAUGGGCAGAAAAAGUCUUAGAGAAUUGCUGUGUGAUGAAUUACAAGUUAUCGCUUUUUUAUGGAUUCCACAUCCAAAGCCUUUAAUGUUGGCUACCCUACUCUGCUUAAUAAUUUUUAAGUGAGUACAUCUAGGCCAAUUAAGCAUUUUCAUUUGCCCUUAAAUGUUACAAAUGCCUGCUAGAGUUGGAAGACUGUGAUUUAAGCUCAAACAUCUGGGGGACAGAAAUGCUCUACCAGGCCUAUUCUGUCCUAUGUUGUUUUGAUGACAAAAUGCACGUAUGCUCAUUGCAAAACCGUUUGAGUUUUAAAUUGGUGCCUUAAAGCUAUGCAGUACUCUGGAUGCACCCAGCAGUUCUAUUCCUCUUUAAAUCUCAUCAUAACCAAGAGUUACAAGCACUGCGGUGUGAGUUCGCUUUACCUGUGGACCACUGCCCUUUAUUAUUUCCCACAAGACUGUCUUUGGAAGCAUCAGCAUUAGCUCCCACUAAAUGAAAUGCAGCUCGACUCCUGCCUACAUCGGUCUUUCAGGAUCUAACCACAGCAGAGAAAUACUUUCCCUUGCUUCAGCGUUGCCCUCCGAGUUAAAAUUAGCUGAGUAUCUGCAUCGUUUCUGCUGGUAUCAAAAAAAUGUGUAAUGCUACUGCUUGAAGGGCCCCUCUUUGCAUUUUGGAGACGUGCUGAUGUGUGUUUUAACCUAUUGUAUUUACAUUGCCCAGGAGUAUCAGCCUGCUGUCUGGCUCACGUUCACGUGUGUGGAGUGGGAUCCUUACUAAAAUUGCGUCAGUGAGGAGCAGAGGUUAAGAGUGAUAAGUAGUUCAAAGAAAGUCUAUUUGCAUGCAACAAAAUAUCUGUGUGAAUACUUAAAGUCAGGAGGGCUGACUAUUCUAUUUAUUUCUGAAGCGCAAAGGACCAAGGCAAAUAAAUUGAAGAUGAAAUUUUCUCUUGUACUUCAUUUCUUUUCCUCCAUGGUAAGAAGAUUCUGCUUUAUCCUGAAUGCAAGAGUAAUGCUAAGGCUUCAGGCAAAAUUAUAAGCUACUUGCAUCCAUGGAAUGAAGUUGCAGAGCUAGCUUCAACCUGGGGACUUAUCAUUUCAUGAGCUGUUGCGUUGCUAACAAGACACAGACAUUGCCGUUGGACAAACAAAGGCAAGAUUGUUUCUCUGUUUGUUCUGCAGCCCUUCUCAGCCGCACUGCUGAGCAUGACUUAGAGAGAACUCUCUUUCUGGGAGGUUCAAACAGUUCAGUAUUUUUCGCUGGAGGUGAAAGGGGGCAUAGCCAUCCUCUGUUGCAACAUUAUGGAAGUUCCCAGCAACCCCAACAUGAACCAGAGCCAAGGAGCAGAUCCUGAGCUGUUUUAAACAGGCAGGAACCAGCUGAUCUCCUUGAAAUACAUGGGUUUUCAUUAGCUGAGGACCUGGAGAAAGGGUCCACCUGUGCCCUACCUCACAUGGAUGGGAUUGAAAACACACUGGAUUCCAGCCUCCACCCUGCAGGAUUUUAAGAGGAGGACACUCCUGAGGUAUGUUAAGACUUUCUUGUCCAAAGGACUAAAUACACUGUGCUGUCUCCAUUCCAGCUAGCUGGAGCUGAAGGAAGAGAAACACAAAUUCAACAUGGGUAAAUACACCAGGAUGUAUUUACUGUGGCUAUGUACAGUGUUUUUGUCAUGCUGGUAAGAUGCCAAAAAGUCAGCAGUAUUUUAAGUUGCGUGAAAAAGGGAAAAAAGUCCCAGAAAAUAACUUCCCCAUGACAAGAUCUUUAAGAGUUCAUAUGUCUUUCAAUAUGUACAUCUUCCAAAGCGUCCUUUUGGCUCCCCACAAAAAAGUAACCCUCAUCUCUACUACUUCUUUUGUACGAUUGCUUCCCACACAUCAGUUUCUAUUCUGACUUACAAAACACAUUUACAAGAUGUAUUUCCUUGGGUGCAGAUCUCCUGUUGGCAGCUUCCCCUGCAUGCAGCAAAAAUGUGAGAGGCAUUUAUUUAUUUAUUUUAUUAUUAUUUUCUAAUAACUUUUGUUCUGGAAAUCAGAAGUGAAGCGAGCGGCAGGUUAGCAUGUUUUUGCAAUAGCGGUAUAAUCAUCUUGCUGCUGAGCAUUUGAAGAGUAUUAUCUGCUUAACAAAUGGAAAAGAUUGUGAAAUGUAAACAAAAUAAUAGAAGGAAAGUAAUUAUUUAUUUCAAGUCUGCCUUAGAAACAGACCCUGGCAGUACAAGUAGCUCAUUGUACGAACUUCUGCCCCAUGGUUAGUAACAAGUUACCUUUGCAGUACUGCUUAUUUUUGUCAGCUCCUUCAUGUCUUUGUUUCCAUGUUAAUCAUGGAUUUCCUUCUUCAGAUGGAUGUAAUACUCAGAUUUGUCACUGUAUUUGUUCAGAGAAGGCUGGGAGUGGAAACAGGAAUCUCCACAAGUUUUCUGCAAAAGAGACUCGUAGAAAGUCUUAAUUUUCACCACUGACGUCCGAUAAACAUAUUAUUUAGAAAACAAACUUGAUCAUAACAACACUUUGAACCCUUUUCCAUCAUUGAAUAUGAAUGUUCUCAGUUAAUGGUUGCAGCACGGCACUCCGCAUGCAUGAGGGAAAUAUAUUGGUUUAAAAACAGAAGACUGAAAUGUAAGUUUGAACUUGAAUUUGUCCAGUGAUGAACACGAUGAGAAGGUGAAGGGAAAUCCUGAAGACCACUCUUCAAGUGGAGGAAGCGGGACAGAAGACUCAUAAGCAUGUCCUAACAGCACUUCCAUGACUGAGAGAUGAUGGACACACCUGCAACGUGAUCACAAGGGUGCAUGAAGCUUGCAUGAGCCUAUCUGAGCUUACUUCAGAAAUUCAGGCUUGACCUCUGAGAGUUCAUGCUAAUAUAUCUGGUGUUCAUUCAGUAUCUGGCAUAAUGGUCCGUGAUCCAUCGCUGUGCUCCCAAGGUGUUCCUGCAAGACAGAUUUCAGCCACCUUUCCCUUUGUACAGGUUCCUUUACCUGUGAAUCUGAAUGCUGUGUGGACUGUGAAUUCCUCUCAGGAGACACUGUAAGUAUUUGGACAGCUAAUUUGUGCAGGUCCCUGAGCUACCUCUGCUAGGAUUAAGCUCACUAGUUAAAGCUGCUUUAGAUGGAUGCAGCUACAGAAAAGUUGAAUGAUAAAUAUUCCCAAAUGUAACAAACAAACUGGCAAACUCUGAAAAAAUAUAUGAAAUACAUCAUAGUAGUCGCAAACUCUCCUUGUUAGUCUCAAGAGGGAUAGAUUUUGUUUAGAGCCGCAGACCAGGCUGUCUUUUACAGCAUUUUGGAUUUUAUGCUGCCUUACAAGUGCAAAAGGACAAUAAAGCAAUGGUAAAUGUUCAAAAAUUACUUUAGCAUGGACUGUGUUAACUCCCUGAUAUCUUUCUGUCCUACACUACAGGCAUACAGGGUAGUGGCUGUAUACUGUGCUCGUGCAUAGUGAUAUCUGGAUGGCAAUGAGACAUAUAGCUAUGGGAUGCUGUAAAAAAACAAAACAAAACAAAAACAACAUCAGCCAUUCUUUUCAUGUUGUGAAAGAUGAUACAAAAUGGAGUUGGCAAUGGUAGUAAUCCCAUCUAUGUAUAAACCUCGAAAGAACAGGAACAGCAUUCUAGGAAAUGUUGUCAUCCCAAAAAUCCAAGCACAGAAGAUAAACCUGUUCAAAGGAGCCUGGUCUUCCCCUGGUAGUAGAGAUCAGCCAUCCUUGACUUAAAAUCCAAUAAAAUUGGAUUCUACUCAGUCCAAUAGGAACAGCUCUCGUUCUCUAUGUCAGACAUGGAGUGGUCCAUCAGAUGGACACCUUUGCAUUCCACCUACACAAAUGGUUAUGAAAGGAACUUCUUAGGACUGCUGAGAAGCUGCCAGGUGAGAGCUGGGAAGCAAACGGGAAGUUCUGCAUACUGGAACUCAUCUGUGUGAAUUUGCUAUAGCUGCCACGCAAUCUUCAGAUGAUAAAAGAAAAUUUAAGAAAAUAAGACAACUUACCCAGAGGAAGAAGAUGAAAGGAUAUCCAUGGGUUUGUAUCCUCACUGAUGGUGCAUAUCUUACUGAAAUUAUAUGGUGUGUAUACAUUUAUAUAUUUACAUACAUAUGCUAUAUGUAUAUUUAACUAAAAAAGAAAUGCAAAAGGAAUGGCAAUCCUGAUACACGUGUGUACUGCAAAACACUGAUCUACUGUUUAAGACAGAAAACGGGAAAGAAUGAACGUGAAGGCUGCAAAAACAUAUGUGGCAUUGUAAAUUGUACCUCACCAAUGUUUGCAUGACAAGCAGGGCUUAGCCUAAAUGAUUAUUUGAUAUUUUUUCCUAUUCAUAUGCAAGAACUACUACAAUAUUGGCAAAAAACCAAACAUCAUGCAGGGCAGACUCGUAUCCACCAUAGAGAACAUAAAAAAUGAGAAGCAUUUACAUAAUACUGUGUUGCUUACAGAAGGCUAAAGAAAGAGUAAGCAGGUACAACAUGUUCUUAAAUGCUUCUGAAAAAGUGUUGAAUGUAUCUGAACGUAACUUUCUAGCUUUCAUUCCUUGUCAUGUCUAACAAGUCCGUGGCAUGUGAUGGGCCUCUGACGUACACUGAUAGCCAUCAAGGUUUGUUACACUAAUCAGAGCAGAAUCAGAGCACCCAAAAUCGCGUCAGCUGAGGCUGAGUAUCAUUGUGAAUCACAGGUACUCUACUAGCAGAUAGCACAACAGAAAUUAAUUGCAGUGAAACACUUCACUUUAUGCUGUUAGAGGUAAUAGGUCUGGAAUUAAAACUAAUUGCAUAUUAAAAUGGAGUGGGUAGCUAUGUUUUGAUUUAGAGAUAGGAACACGUCAGGCAAGCUCGUCUGUAACAGGAGAUAUUCAGUGCCCUGAAGUGAUGAAGGAGAAGAGCCCAGGAGAGCAUUCCUUGCAUUCCUGUGGCACUCAGCAUAUACAUAUGCCCCACAAAAAAAGGAAAUCUUAGCGCUCUGGGUUGGUAAGGUGAGCUCCAGAAAAGCUGGCACUUUCAUGUAGCUGCAGGCUUGGCUAAUUUGAAGAAAUGAUACUCUCUGAUGAUGAAUAUGAGGAAUAUUUAAAACUGCUAUUUAUUUAUUUUUGUUUUUCAGGGCAAAGGGCAUUAUAUUUUCAGUCUGUUAGUUAAAAAGUGAAUUAAGAACUACUAGUUAGCAACCACUAGCAAAAUAUGGCUGGGAUGUGGAGCUCUAUUUAAGUCCUGUGGUCUUCCCAGAAUGAUCAGUAUUAGGUGCAACAAUAUUUUGCUGACAUGUAUGAGUAGGAUUAGCACAAAGAGUUAUCUUUGAUGAACUAAAUUUCAAGAGGUUUAAAAGAAUACUGUUUGAAGACAUGGCCAGUAGGAGGGUCAUCUGUGUCUAAAUGUGUAAGAUUUUGUCUCCUCAGACACGUAAGGAAAAAAAAAACAUUCUUCAUACUGAUGUCCAUAAUUUUCACAAAUACGGAAAUAAAAAUAAACAUUACAAGA